rnacentral:tmRNA from 1 species
GGGGGUGUAAAGGUUUCGACGGGGGCAUUUAAACAAGAUAAGCGAGUAGUGGUGGGAGCCACUUUAAAAGCCCAAUUUUUUAAAAUUAAACGCAGCUUAACUUAAUUUAAGCAGCUGCCCUGUUAGCGGCAGCCGUCCGGCAGAGGAGGACCACGGUCUUUGUUUGGGCGUCACUUAGUGGUGAACGUGAGUUAUUAACCGGUUUUGAGAUAACCAUGAAUAAUUAAACCUACCGAAGGGAACAGAUUGUUUGUGUGCUGUCCCAAAGGGAAAUUUAAAGCAUAAACUACACUCGUAGAAAGUCUUGCGGCGUGUUUUCGGACAGGAGUUCAACUCUCCUCACCUCCACCA